UACGUAGGGGGCUAGCGUUGUUCGGAUUUACUGGGCGUAAAGGGCGCGUAGGCGGUCAGCACAAGUCAGUUGUGAAAUCUCCGGGCUUAACUCGGAAAGGUCAACUGAUACUGUGCGACUAGAGUGCGGAAGGGGCAACUGGAAUUCUCGGUGUAGCGGUGAAAUGCGUAGAUAUCGAGAGGAACACCUGCGGCGAAGGCGGGUUGCUGGGCCGACACUGACGCUGAUGCGCGAAAGCCAGGGGAGCGAACGGG
rnacentral:rRNA from 1 species